CGAACGGGUGAGUAAUAUAUCGGAACGUAUCCAAUAAUGGGGGAUAACUAAUCGAAAGGUUAGCUAAUACCGCAUACGCCCUGAGGGGGAAAGCUAGGGACCGCAAGGCCUGGCGUUAAUGGAGCGGCCGAUAUCUGAUUAGCUAGUUGGUGAGGUAAAGGCUCACCAAGGCUUCGAUCAGUAGCUGGUCUGAGAGGACGACCAGCCACACUGGAACUGAGACACGGUCCAG
rnacentral:rRNA from 1 species